rnacentral:rRNA from 1 species
AUUGAACGCUGGCGGCAGGCCUAACACAUGCAAGUCGAGCGGAUGAGGGUAGCUUGCUACCUGAUUCAGCGGCGGACGGGUGAGUAAUGCCUAGGAAUCUGCCCGAUAGUGGGGGACAACGUUUCGAAAGGAACGCUAAUACCGCAUACGUCCUACGGGAGAAAGUGGGGGAUCUUCGGACCUCACGCUAUCGGAUGAGCCUAGGUCGGAUUAGCUAGUUGGUGAGGUAAUGGCUCACCAAGGCUACGAUCCGUAACUGGUCUGAGAGGAUGAUCAGUCACACUGGAACUGAGACACGGUCCAGACUCCUACGGGAGGCAGCAGUGGGAAAUAUUGGACAAUGGGCGAAAGCCUGAUCCAGCCAUGCCGCGUGUGUGAAGAAGGUCUUCGGAUUGUAAAGCACUUUAAGUUGGGAGGAAGGGCUGUAGGCUAAUAUCCUGCAGUUUUGACGUUACCAACAGAAUAAGCACCGGCUAACUUCGUGCCAGCAGCCGCGGUAAUAC